UGCGUAGGUGGCCGGGUAAGUCUGACGUGAAAUCUCCGAGCCUAACUCGGAAACUGCAUCGGAUACUAUCCGGCUUGAGGAUUGGAGGGGGGACUGGAAUACUUGGUGUAGCAGUGAAAUGCGUAGAUAUCAAGUGGAACACCAGUGGCGAAGGCGAGUCCCUGGACAAUUCCUGACACUGAGGCACGAAAGCUAGGGAGCAAACA
rnacentral:rRNA from 1 species